AUGUGCAGACUGCUUUGCAGUGAUAAUAAAUAUAAUUCUGAUAUUAGUAUCUCUGGACAUGACCACCAGCAAAAUAAAACAGUAUUCAUCUCAAACAUGAAUCAUUUUGAAGGAGUCCAGAACUUAAAUGAAGAGUCUUUCCACCUCAUUGUCAUGGAGAGAGUUGUUUUCCUUCACCAUCGUGUCAGAGACACUAAAGAGACAUAAAUUGUCCCUUCUUGCUGUGGGUGGUGGGCUGCUGGAAUUCCCAGCAGCAGCUGGACAGUCACUGCUUUCUUCUCUUCAAACCUGAGUGUGAUGCAUCAGAGUCUACCUACAGCAGGACAUACUGAGAGCCAAGUGCUGACUUAGUUGAUAUGCCUUUGAAGACUGAAUAUUCAUCUCAUGGAUUUGUGGUAGCAAAUCUGCUUCUGACGAGGGCCAGAUAAAAUCCUGCAUGCCUAUGUAACUAGAGAGGCUGGAAAUGGAAUUGAUCUGAAAAAUAUUUUUUUUCCAGUUAAAAAGUGUCAAGUUCUGAAAAAGAACUAUUGAAAACAGACAUAUUUUAGUUAGAAAUAGUACAAGUCCUCAUGGGAGAUGGAGCCUGAAGAACAUAAUUUCUGGUUUCAAAAAAUCUCUAAGUUUUCCCUCAAAAGAGCAGUGUAGACAGCGUUGUAGACUAGAAAUUACAAUGAAGAAAGCCAGAUUUAAUCUACCUCUCUUAGCAAUUAUAUGCAGGACAAUGCCUACAUUCCCUUAUUCUUGAAAAGGCUUUGAAAAACAAUCUUGAGACUGAACAUCAUUCUCCAUUCAGAAAACUACAUUAGCCUAAUGCUGCUACCUCAAGAAAUGAACAAAGGGCCAAUUCUCCCCAACUUCCCUUCUGUGUUUCUGCAAAUUAGAAACAAACCUGGCAUAUUUUUGGAGCAGCAUCGAUAGUCUAAAUCCAGAUUUUUUUCCCUGGACUUGAAAAUCCUGCAGAAACUACUGUGGCAGUUCUAUUUCCAGAAAUAAAUAUCAGAGAUACAUGAGGUCUCA
rnacentral:lncRNA from 1 species